GAAGGGGGCUAGCAUUGCUCGGAAUUACUGGGCGUAAAGGGAGCGUAGGCGGACAUUUAAGUCAGGGGUGAAAUCCCGGGGCUCAACCUCGGAAUUGCCUUUGAUACUGGGUGUCUUGAGUAUGAGAGAGGUGUGUGGAACUCCGAGUGUAGAGGUGAAAUUCGUAGAUAUUCGGAAGAACACCAGUGGCGAAGGCGACACACUGGCUCAUUACUGACGCUGAGGCUCGAAAGCGUGGGGAGCAAACAGGAUUAGAUACCCUGGUAGUCCACGCCGUAAACGAUGAUUGCUAGUUGUCGGGAUGCAUGCAUUUCGGUGACGCAGCUAACGCAUUAAGCAAUCCGCCUGGGGAGUACGGUCGCAAGAUUA
rnacentral:rRNA from 1 species